AGAUUUGAUAGGGUAAUGAACAUCUCAAUAUUUUAAAAAUUUUUAGAGAUUUAUUAAUAAUUUUAUUUAUAAAAAAAUUUAAAAUUAUUCUUGCCUUACUGAAAGAAUAAUAUUAAUAGUGAAACACAAAUCUUAUGUCAAAAAGAGAAAAAGAAAAACAACAAACCAUCAUCAAUUCAUAGUCUCUUCUUCUCUAUCAAUUUUCCCUUUUCAACAAAUCUAUAAUUAUCAACUUCUAUUCUUUAAAAUUUAAAUU
rnacentral:misc_RNA from 1 species